CAGCAAAGCAAUAGAUAACUAGACUGAAA
rnacentral:piRNA from 1 species